rnacentral:misc_RNA from 1 species
AAGGAGUCUAACAUGUAUGCGAGUUCUAAACUGUGGAAUAGUUUUGGGCGAAAUGAAAGUGAAUCUUGUUUUAUCAAGUGCCCGUUCUUUAGGACGGAGUAAGAGCGUAUGUGUUGGGACCCGAAAGAUGGUGAACUAUGCCUGAAUAGGGCAAAGUCAGAGGAAACUCUGAUGGAGGCUCGUAGCGGUUUUGACGUGCAAAUCAAUGGUCGAAUUUGGGUAUAGGGGCGAAAGACUAAUCGAACCAUCUAGUAGCUGGUUCCCAC